rnacentral:rRNA from 1 species
AGGGUUGAGAAUAUUUUCUGGGUCGAUGGUGCAGCAAGGAAGGCCUAUGUGGAAUCUUAUCAUGAUUGUGUCUCCUUUGACACAACAUAUAUGACUAACAUGUACAACAUGCCCUUUGCACCAUUCAUUGGGAUUAACAGGCAUGGGCAGUCAUUCAUGUUGGGCUAUGGUUUUGUUAGGCAAGAGUUGGCGUCAAGCUUUGAUUGGCUAUUCCAGACCUUCCUCGAGGCAAUCCAUAAUGUAGCACCCACCAACAUCAUAACCGACCAAGACAUCCCAAUGGCACAGUCAAUUAAAAAGAUCUUCCCUACAAGUGUGCACCGAUGUUGUCGCUGGCAUAUUAUGAAAAAAGCACAAGAGAAGCUUGGAGCACUGUUGGGGCGAAACCCUGGCUUGUCAAAAUAUUUCAACAAUUGUGUUGACUUUAGCUUGACGCCAAAGGAGUUUGAGGCAGGGUGGUGUGAGCUGAUGAUGAAGUAUGAGGCUAUGACUGACUCCCACUUCGAGAAUCUAUACAAAUACACAGAAACGUGGGUACCCUAUUACUUCAAGCACCAAUUCUUCCCUUUCUUGCACCAAUUCUUCCCUUUCUUGCAGAGUGGCUUCUCUCUUGAAAGAAAGAUGAAAGUUCAUCAGGUGAGCCGCAUCUUGAUCUUCCGGGAUUUCAACUUGUUCUCCAUCUCUGCAUCAAAAUCAUCGGUUUGGGUACACCAUCACCCUCAUCCUCGACAAUCAUAUUGUGCAGAAUAA